GCAUCGGUAGUUCAAUGGUAGAAUGUUGGUUUCCCAAGCCAACGGUUCGGGUUCGAUUCCCGGCCGAUGCA